GCGAACCCCAGGWCAGGCGGGAACCACCCGCUGAGUUUAAGCAUAUCAAUGAGCGGAGGA
rnacentral:rRNA from 1 species